rnacentral:rRNA from 1 species
AUACGGAGGGUGCAAGCGUUGUUCGGAAUCACUGGGCGUAAAGGGCGCGCAGGCGGUUUGGUAAGUCAGAUGUGAAAGCCCACGGCUCAACCGUGGAAGUGCAUUUGAAACUGUCAGACUUGAGUACUAGAGGGGAAAGUGGAAUUCCCGGUGUAGAGGUGAAAUUCGUAGAUAUCGGGAGGAAUACCGGUGGCGAAGGCGACUUUCUGGCUAGAUACUGACGCUGAGGUGCGAAAGCGUGGGGAGCAAACAGAAUUAGAUACCCUUGUAGUCC